CAGCAGUGGUGGUAAUAUUGCACAAUGGUCGGAAAGCCUGAUGCAGCGACGCCGUCGUGGGGUGAUGAAGGCCUUCGGGUUGUAACUCCUUUCGACAUGGGACGAAUGCGUAAGUGACGGUACCUGUAUAAGAAGCACCGGCUAACUACGUGCCAUGCAGCCGCGGUAAUACGUAGGGUGCGAGCGUUGUCCGGUAAUUACUGGGCGUAAUAGAGCUCGUAGUUGUUUUUCGCGUCGUCUGUGAAAUUCCGGGGCGUAAUUCCGGGCGUGCAGGCGAUACGGGCUGACUUGAGUGCUGUAGGGGAGACUGGAAUUCCUGUGUGUAGCGGUGAAAUGCGCAGAUAUCAGGAGGUAACACCGAUGGCGUAAGGCAGGUCUCUGGGCAGUAACUUGACGCUGAGGAGCGAAAGCAUGGGUAGCGAUACAUGGAUUAGAUACCCUGGUAGUCCAUGCCGUAAACGGUGGGCGCUAGGUGUAGGGGGCUUCCACGUCUUCUGUGCCGUAGCUAAC
rnacentral:rRNA from 1 species